CCGCGCUCUCGCUUCAGCGUCCCUGCCGCUUGUCGAGCGCGCCUCGCUCCGGCCGCAGCCCCCACACCGCUGUCGCCCCAAGCGUGCCGCUGUCAUGCUCAAGCCCCUCCAUGAGAGCCCGCAGAGUGUAGCCACUCCUCUAAUGUUAUCUGAAUUUGAAAAGUACAUUCUGUAUAUUAAAUUUGACAGUCUGAAAUUUGUGUGUUCGCAGGUGGUCCACAUCAGCUGGCCUCCUGCAUGCAUUGGAAGAGUAGCUACCAGCUGUUGUAGGAAUGGGAAAAAAUGGUAACUCACGCAUUUAAUUUCUAUAUCCUGAUGCAUCUUUGCUCUGAAAUGAUUGAAAGAAAAAACAGAUAAUUUAUGUUCCAACUAGAGCGGUUCAAGUUCUUGCAGGGUUUUAGAACAAGAUACACUUUACAUGGAUGAACCAAGCAGAUUUUGCCAAGUAUGCGUCACCUAUUAUUCAAUCCAAAGGGAACAAAAUAAAUUUUGGUAUUUUCUUCACUGAGUAUUUCUGUUGGAAAGAGAUGGCAUUGGCCAGUAUGAGGUGCUGUCAGUCCUGCACAUUACGGCGAUGAUGCCUUUGUCCCAAGAGAAUUCCUUGCUCCUCCCCAAUACGUGGGCUCAAGGGAUACCACACCAAAGUAUCUAAAGGUCCAUAUUUUCGACAUGUACUACUGACUAUUUCUCUGCUGCAGAAUCAUAAAGAAGUUCUCAGUUUCAGUUUUCUGAAUCUUUUUUAGAGAAACAAACGAUCUUCAGUAAAGGUAUUCCGCAAGGCAUCCGGGGUACUUGGAGUGUGCUAUGCAGCAUAUUCUUUCCUAUUUUUUAUUGGUUUUGCUAAUGCUCAGCUAGCUGAGACUCAACUAACGCUC
rnacentral:lncRNA from 1 species